CAGAGAUCAUGCCCUCACGGGUAGACCUCCCACCCUGUGUUAUAUACUCUUGUUGCUUUGGCAGGCCGCCUUCGGGCUCCCGGCUUCGGCUGGGGUGCGCCUGCCAGAGGACCCCAACUCUUUUGUUUAUAUGUCUUUUUACAAACAUGGUGUAAUGAACGUCAUAUAUCAUAACAAAACA
rnacentral:misc_RNA from 1 species